UUUAAUUUAAGUGUAUUUUUUCUUAAUUUUUUUUCUUUGCCUUUCUCAUUGAUUUCUUAGUUUUUAUGGGGUGGAAGUGAAAGAAGAGAGGUAAAAUAAAUUUUUGGAUGUUGUAUUUAAACUGAUUUUGAUAUGGAAAGAGUGAUUAGGCCAAGUGCAAAAAGGUAAUAUUUACAGUUUUCGGAACAUCUCUUGACUUGUCGAUAGGGGUAUGGCUGUGUAGUGGCUAAAUUUGGCAGUGAUCUGGUAUGUGGACAAGUACGAUGAACGACUCCACCAGUUAAGUGCAGCAUCACCUUUGCAGACAAUGGAAUAUUCCGGACACAGGGUGCAGUCACUAUCAUAGCAGCGAAGAGUUGCCUCGAGCACUUUUGGUCAGCUUGCGAGCGAAGAGUACAGAUGUUACCAGUCGUCUCUAUUUUGCAGUCAGAAGAUUGAAAAGUUUGCCGCACAUGGGAAGUACGUGCACUACCUGAUUGAGGGAUCGGUAUUGAUGUCUGGCUUUGGCUUCUACCACUGGGUUUUCCAGCUUGGAACCAUCCAGGAUUUCUUGGAGAGUUGUCUUUCUUUGACCUGUUCUUGGUAUAGCCUUUAGUGAACAUUUUGA